rnacentral:rRNA from 1 species
GAGAAAAAUAUGUGUUGCGUGUGUGUGUGUGUACGCUUGAUAUGCCACCUUUGCGGGUGGUGUUCUUCGUAUACGUAUACGCGCGUACAUAUAUGAAAUAUAAAGGGAGGAUGGGCCGGCCCAAGGGUCGGCUCCGCACUCCUGGGGCGUUUCAUGUUCAUUACGAACUGAGGCGCACCUAGAGCGUACACGCUAUGACCCGAAAGAUGGUGAACUAUGCCUGGUCAGGACGAAGUCAGGGGAAACCCUGAUGGAGGUCCGUAGCGAUUCUGACGUGCAAAUCGAUCGUCGGAACUGGGUAUAGGGGCGAAAGACUAAUCGAACUAUCUAGUAGCUGGUUCCCUCCGAAGUUUCCCUCAGGAUAGCUGGCACUCAAUGAAAUAUAUAUUAUAUAUUGGCGCGGGCAGUCUCUAUACGGGACGCGCGUGCAAAAGAGAGGAAAUGACGAGUUUCAUCCGGUAAAGCGAAUGAUUAGAGGCAUUGGGGUCGAAACGACCUCAACCUAUUCUCAAACUUUAAAUGGGUGAGAUCUCCGGCUUACUUGAACGAUAUAU